UGAUUUCAUUAUGUGCUCAUUUCUUAAUUUUCUCCUACCUGUCAGACAUCCUUCGAUUUUUCUGACAUUAUUGCCCCUUCAUCUCACACUUAAAAAAUAACAAAGAAAGCAAAAGGAUAGCCAAACAGCUUAAUUAAUGUGAGUAAAUAUGGAUGCAUCACAUGGCUCUAUCAAAAGCACCUUGGUAAAAAUGAUAGUCGGUGCACCAAGCUCUCGUUAUGUGCGGAUCUGGGAAAGGGUCGGACCACAAAGAUUUAUUAUACACAGCUUUAUCCUAUAUUUCUCCAAGAGGCUGUUUCCACGGCUCGAACCCACGACCUCCUCACCUUGAUAAAAACUAAACAAUGUUUUCUUUGCAGUUUUGGAGCUGAGAUUCGAAGAAAACAAGCUGCAUGGAAAUGGUUGCUUUUCUUUAAAGCGCUAGAAUUCAACAUUUUCUUCAACUACUACAUUAAUUUUUCACAAGUAGUGAGAAGCUUUGACAAGUUAAAGAAAAAGGGUAUUUAAGCAUGUUUGUUCAUAGGAGGUCUAGUUCUGUAUCUGCUCGCCACUAUUCACCUAUGUCUUCCAUGCGUGUUCGGCCCGAUCGAUAAGGUAUGAAAGAGUCCCCUCUCUGUUUAUUUCUCCGGUUUUUACUAUUAAGUAGCACUUUUGCUAUUCAAUCAUAGAAUCAAUUGAUUCCGAUCGUCGAGCCCGGUCCGGCCCGCUUUGUCUAAAUAUGUAAUGUUGCGGCAAGUCAAUUGCCUCUCCCUUGUCAAAUUUCCUUGUGGAAGAUUUUUGAGUCAAGAAUAUUAAUGAUCAUUCCCUUCCUCUCUUCAUUAGUGUUUGUAUCUUUUAUGACUACCGAAAACAUCGCUUUAAUUUUGGAUCCUUCAUUAAUAAAAUAUUACUAAUUGAUAGA